rnacentral:rRNA from 1 species
GACGAACGCUGGCGGCGUGCUUAACACAUGCAAGUCGAACGGUGAAGCGCCUUCCUUUUUGGUGGGUGUGGAUGAGUGGCGAACGGGUGAGUAACACGUGAGUAACCUGCCCCCUUCUUCUGGAUAACCGCAUGAAAGUGUGGCUAAUACGGGAUAUUCUGGGUCUGUCGCAUGAUGGGUCUGGGAAAGAUAUUGUUUCGGUGGGGGAUGGGCUCGCGGCCUAUCAGCUUGUUGGUGGGGUGAUGGCCUACCAAGGCGGUGACGGGUAGCCGGCCUGAGAGGGUGGACGGUCACACUGGGACUGAGACACGGCCCAGACUCCUACGGGAGGCAGCAGUGGGGAAUAUUGCACAAUGGGCGCAAGCCUGAUGCAGCGACGCCGCGUGAGGGAUGGAGGCCUUCGGGUUGUGAACCUCUUUCGCCAGUGAAGCAGGCCUGCUUCGUCUGUGGGUGGGUUGACGGUAGCUGGAUAAGAAGCGCCGGCUAACUACGUG